rnacentral:rRNA from 1 species
UACGUAGGGGGCUAGCGUUGUCCGGAUUCAUUGGGCGUAAAGAGCGUGUAGGCGGCCAGGUAGGUCCGACGUGAAAACUGGAGGCUCAACCUCCAGCUGUCGUCGGAAACCCUCUGGCUAGAGUCCGGAAGAGGAGAGCGGAAUUCCUGGUGUAGCGGUGAAAUGCGCAGAUAUCAGGAAGAACACCGAUGGCGAAGGCAGCUCUCUGGGACGGUACUGACGCUGAGACGCGAAAGCGUGGGGAGCGAACAGG